GCUUGUUUUAACUUAACAAAUAAACCAAAUGCCUAAAAGUAAACCCCAUUUAGUUAAGCUUGGAAUAACCAAAAAUACAAAACAAACAAAACAAAAACAAAUAGCUUGGUUAAGCUUAAAGUUCCUUAUCUAUUGAUAAUCAAUUAUCUACUUAGAAUUGAGCAUUUAAGUAUCGGUCUAAGCUUAGAAUAAGCAGCGACCAAGUUCUUUUCUCUUGUGGCUGCUAAGAUAAGCGCAUCGCUCGCGGUUAAACUCAAGUAUUUAUUUAACCCCCGGAAAAAAAAAAAAGACACGUGGUGGGAAAUUUCCACCUAAGUUUCCCAAAACUUAAACGCCGAGGGAAGUGAGUAGCGCCCAGUGCGUUAUAAGUAAAUUACAUUUUUGUGGUGCCAAUUCAAGGUCGAAUUGGCACCCAGUAAGAACCCAUUUUUUUAUUGUUCUUACAUUGGGAACAAGUUUAUAAGUCCCCAACUAGCCAGUUUUACCCUAAGAAGGGCUCGAAGCGCGGGAUCAGAUGGAUUAAUUAUAAUUAGAGUGAGAGAUACAAUUUUUUCUUGGAAGUAAGGUGCAUGUGCCAAUAAUUUUCCCUCAUUAACUAAAACCCGCCAAUGGCCAGCAUAUGCACCCGAAUCGUCCAAUGACGUCACUCAUCGCUCCAAGACAGUUACGCCUGUCCCAUGUGGUUUCUGGAAUUAUUAAGUUGAUUUAAUUAUUUUGGCGUUUAAUAAUGUAAAAAAAUAAAUUUUCCAGUUCCCUUAAUUUUGUAUUUUUUAUUUAAUUACUUAAAUACUAAACAUGAAUGGCUCGGAAAUAUUAAAUAGUUUGGUGAAUAUAUGUAUACAUACAUACAUAAAAAUAACCUUUAUGCCCUAAAAUUAUAGAUUCAUCGCUCAACCCGACAAAAGAUCUUUUGGACGUGGAAAUAAACUCGAUGUAAGUGAAAAAAAACACAUUACCCCAAAUUAAAAAUUGUUUGUGGUUAGGCCGAUUUUUCUCCGUGUACUAAAAGCUUUACCUGAAAGAUUUUUGUUUGCCAAACGGUAAAAUCGAACCAUGCGGUUUGCAAUUAAAAUAUAGAACAAUGGUACACUGA